rnacentral:rRNA from 2 species
GAAUGCUGACAUAAGUAACGAUAAAGCGGGUGAAAAGCCCGCUCGCCGGAAGACCAAGGGUUCCUGUCCAACGUUAAUCGGGGCAGGGUGAGUCGACCCCUAAGGCGAGGCCGAAAGGCGUAGUCGAUGGGAAACGGGUUAAUAUUCCCGUACUUGGUGUUACUGCGAAGGGGGGACGGAGAAGGCUAUGUUGGCCGGGCGACGGUUGUCCCGGUUUAAGCGUGUAGGUGUGUGUUCCAGGUAAAUCCGGUUCACUUUAACACUGAGGCGUGACGACGAGGCACUACGGUGCUGAAGCAACAAAUGCCCUGCUUCCAGGAAAAGCCUCUAAGCAUCAGGUAACAUCAAAUCGUACCCCAAACCGACACAGGUGGUCAGGUAGAGAAUACCAAGGCGCUUGAGAGAACUCGGGUGAAGGAACUAGGCAAAAUGGUGCCGUAACUUCGGGAGAAGGCACGCUGACACGUAGGUGAAGUGAUUUACUCAUGGAGCUGAAGUCAGUCGAAGAUACCAGCUGGCUGCAACUGUUUAUUAAAAACACAGCACUGUGCAAACACGAAAGUGGACGUAUACGGUGUGACGCCUGCCCGGUGCCGGAAGGUUAAUUGAUGGGGUCAGCGCAAGCGAAGCUCCUGAUCGAAGCCCCGGUAAACGGCGGCCGUAACUAUAACGGUCCUAAGGUAGCGAAAUUCCUUGUCGGGUAAGUUCCGACCUGCACGAAUGGCGUAAUGAUGGCCAGGCUGUCUCCACCCGAGACUCAGUGAAAUUGAACUCGCUGUGAAGAUGCAGUGUACCCGCGGCAAGACGGAAAGACCCCGUGAACCUUUACUAUAGCUUGACACUGAACAUUGAGCCUUGAUGUGUAGGAUAGGUGGGAGGCUUUGAAGUGUGGACGCCAGUCUGCAUGGAGCCGACCUUGAAAUACCACCCUUUAAUGUUUGAUGUUCUAACGUGGACCCGUUACCCGGGUUGCGGACAGUGUCUGGUGGGUAGUUUGACUGGGGCGGUCUCCUCCUAAAGAGUAACGGAGGAGCACGAAGGUUGGCUAAUCCUGGUCGGACAUCAGGAGGUUAGUGCAAUGGCAUAAGCCAGCUUGACUGCGAGCGUGACGGCGCGAGCAGGUGCGAAAGCAGGUCAUAGUGAUCCGGUGGUUCUGAAUGGAAGGGCCAUCGCUCAACGGAUAAAAGGUACUCCGGGGAUAACAGGCUGAUACCGCCCAAGAGUUCAUAUCGACGGCGGUGUUUGGCACCUCGAUGUCGGCUCAUCACAUCCUGGGGCUGAAGUAGGUCCCAAGGGUAUGGCUGUUCGCCAUUUAAAGUGGUACGCGAGCUGGGUUUAGAACGUCGUGAGACAGUUCGGUCCCUAUCUGCCGUGGGCGCUGGAGAACUGAGGGGGGCUGCUCCUAGUACGAGAGGACCGGAGUGGACGCAUCACUGGUGUUCGGGUUGUCAUGCCAAUGGCACUGCCCGGUAGCUAAAUGCGGAAGAGAUAAGUGCUGAAAGCAUCUAAGCACGAAACUUGCCCCGAGAUGAGUUCUCCCUGAGACUUAAAGUCUCCUGAAGGAACGUUGAAGACGACGACGU